rnacentral:rRNA from 1 species
UACGUAGGGUGCGAGCGUUAAUCGGAAUUACUGGGCGUAAAGCGUGCGCAGGCGGUUCUCCAAGUCCGUUGUGAAAGCCCCGGGCUCAACCUGGGAAUGGCAGUGGAAACUAGGGGACUGGAAUCUGGCAGAGGGGGGUGGAAUGCCGCGUGUAGCAGUGAAAUGCGUAGAGAUGCGGCGGAACACCGAUGGCGAAGGCAGCCCCCUGGGCUGAGAUUGACGCUAAGGCACGAAAGCGUGGGGAGCAAACAGG